ACUCCUACGGGAGGCAGCAGUAGGGAAUCUUCCACAAUGGGCGCAAGCCUGAUGGAGCAACACCGCGUGAGUGAAGAAGGGUUUCGGCUCGUAAAGCUCUGUUGUUAAAGAAGAACACGUAUGAGAGUAACUGUUCAUACGUUGACGGUAUUUAACCAGAAAGUCACGGCUAACUACGUGCCAGCAGCCGCGGUAAUACGUAGGUGGCAAGCGUUAUCCGGAUUUAUUGGGCGUAAAGAGAGUGCAGGCGGUUUUCUAAGUCUGAUGUGAAAGCCUACGGCUUAACCGGAGAAGUGCAUCGGAAACUGGAUAACUUGAGUGCAGAAGAGGGUAGUGGAACUCCAUGUGUAGCGGUGGAAUGCGUAGAUAUAUGGAAGAACACCAGUGGCGAAGGCGGCUACCUGGUCUGCAACUGACGCUGAGACUCGAAAGCAUGGGUAGCGAACAGGAUUAGAUACCCUGGUAGGCUAGCC
rnacentral:rRNA from 1 species